UAUGUGAGGGUAGGGUUUUGUGAUCACUUGGGCUAUUUGGUGGGGGCUAGGUAUUGUCGGUGGACAAAGACAAUUAUCAUAUGGUUCCCUUCACUGAACUUGAAGGGAGGCUUUAGAAUCCUUAGACUGACCCCUAACCCAAGCUUCUGAUGUGGCAUCACAAUAUUCUAAGUAGACCUUUCUCUGUCAAGUGCAGAGGCAUUCACAGCUGAGCAGUGGAAGCAGCCUGGUAUGUCCUCUGAUGGCUGACUAGGGCGCUGGCUAGGGUGGGUUUGGCACAAUAGUCUGGCCAAGCCCUUUUAUUCCCAGAGGCAACAGGAAAGGAUGCACUCGGAGGGCAGAGCACUGGGCAGCACUGAGUGUGGGGCCUUCUGCUGCAUGGUUCCCUCCCGUCUUUGCUACUCUGUCCCCAAGGCCACCUGCGGAAGUCAGGUCUUCAAAACCUGGGGACUGUGUGAAGCCUGUGGGAGAGCCGCUGCUCAGUCAUGUCCGGAUGGGGGGGCUUUGCCUGCCCUUCCUGGUGGCCAAGUCAGAAGCAGUCUUGGGUUAGAGUCAUGGACCUGACCUCUUGCUGCCACUGUGGGCCUGGCCUUUGAGAUCCAGUGUCUCCCUCUGCGGCUGGGUUCAUGUUCCAGAGUCACUUCAAGGCCUUUUCCAGCUCCUGCCAACCUGCUCCAAAAAGACCAAGGCUAUGGACAACGUGACCUGUUGGGAAAGAGUGGGGGGCAACACGCCUUGGCUGGUUCGUCUUCAGUGGUUUAGAGUGGAGUUCUUAACCUUGGAGCAAAUGUCAACUUUAUGGGUCCAAAAUACAUACCCAAAUGUGGCAGUCCUGUGUAAUCACCUGGUGAAUUUU